UUACGCUCGAUGAUGAGUUCCGG
rnacentral:siRNA from 1 species